CCCUUACACUCGCGCGGCCCGGGGGACCCGUGACGCCACCUUCAGCGCAGCGGUCCGGUGGUUCGGCCCGGGAAGAGCCUGGAAGAGACCGCGGAUCCCGGCUGCUCCCCGGCCCCGAACCCCCAGCCCAACCACGCAGUCAUAAAUAAUCGCGCCGGCCCGGCAACACCUGGCUACGCGACAGCGCGAUACCGCGGGCACAGCCAAGUCAGUGGAACUGAGGCGCGGCCGAGUGCGGGGCUGCCGGGCGCCCCAUGCUGUCUUGAGGCCCGCGCCGCUGCUACGGGCGGGGUGGGUCUCCGAGCAGGGGUCAGCGCCCGUCUGGGACACUCACAUCCCCUAACGGUCUCCUGACCUCAGGAAACUCAAGGUCUUGACUCAAGGUCGUGAACGAUUUGCAAGUGUAUCUUCACAUAUGCGACAGGAGUGAGCUUAAAAUUCCAUCCCCUGACCACGCAGGCUACCGUCUGUAAUCUCAGCGCUUUGGGAGGCCAAGGAUGAUCUCAAAUCUUAUGUUCGGGAACCUGCAAACCUCGGACCACCACAUCAAGGGAAAUGAAGUGAACCUUUCACUUGAUGACAAGACUUUGUAGAAAACCACUAAAUUAGCUACUCUAACAUCAUCAUGCAGGUGCAUGGGUCUCCUUGAACAAAUUAUUCCAGAGUAAGAUGGCCUGUUCCUCCAUCAUUCCAGUGUUAUACCAGGAAACCAGGUUUGAUUAGGAUUUCAUUGUGUGUAGUAUUUGUUUCAGGGCAUAUGCUUUGAUCAAAAUCUAUGUAAUGAAGACCUAUACUCCAUGAUAUCUAGAAUUAAUCAUUGAACUAUGUCUAUGGCUAAACCCAAAUGUUACACUGAUUUACUUAUUAAACACCUAUUUGCCUGUGAAGAGUUUGUCCCUAAAAGUGAAUUUUAAAUAUAGAGCAACACCAAACAAUAAUAAAACCAGUGUAAAAAACUCGAGGUUAUUAUCCAAAUCAGGUGCUUUUUUAAACUGAGAAGUAACCAAAUGAAAAAGGAA